GCCGGUGCACACAGGUGGGGCUGCUGCAGGCUACCUUCGCUCACAGAGGCCGAGCUGAACCGUGAGCUGUGAGGCACCUCUGACUUUGGGGACCCUUGAAGCACAGUUGUCUGAAAUGGCCGUGUUCCCGUGGCCCCCAAUCCCUUAGGAGGCGGCACGGGGACCCCAGGACCCCGGGGAGAGCCGUCCCAGGGCACAGAAUAUGCGCCUGUGUUUACCUCCCAGACCAACACUGAGCAGAUGAAGAUUCGAGAGAUGAGACAUUUGAUGAGACAUUUGCGUUAUUAUGCGUAUGGAUGGAUUUCUUCUGCCGGAGUCCUAGUCAACCUACUUUGCAAAUUGUGUUACAAAGAGCCAUAAGACACUUGAGACUCUGCAGACACAUCCCAGGGCCUGGGCUCCGUAGGUAACAGAGAAGCAGGCGGCUUUACAGAAAAUGAUGAUGGCGGAUCAGACCGUGCUGUGUGAUCCUGUUUUCUUAGCCUGCAUCCUUGUGCCCUAAGGACUGCCUCUGAAAAUGCGAAGCUCUCGGGCUUAAACGGAUCCUGCGCUGACUCUGCUCUGCGGACCUGCCCCCGCUCAGGGGUGGCCGGCAGGGCUGGCGUGUCUGCUGGGCUGGCUGGACCUGCGGGAAGCACCCCCAGUGGCACCAAGAUGGGUGAUUCACAUUUUCUCGAUGGAGAGUUCGUGCUCCUGUCUCACCUUUCUUGACCAACGAGGAGCCAUUUGGAUAUUUUAAGAUAGCGGGGCACAGGCUUCACGUGUUUAUUUUGUGACUGAGCAUUUGAGUUUAGGGAGACUGUGAAAAUGCUGUUCUUUUCUCCUUAGAGACUUCUAAACUCUGCUUUCCCCCAGAAGGGAGGGGAGAGAUUCUUCUUGCUAAAGACAGCGGUCGGUCGGCAAACUGGGUUCCACACGGCCCUUGGUGCCAUGGACCAGCAGAGGGACGGCCCGAGUGGAUCCACGUCUUUUAGUUCUGGUGCCCUGGGAGCAGGACCUCACCUGGUGUCCCGACUCCCUUCCCGCCCCCGUCUGCAGACGAGGAAGCUCGGCAGGGAGGCUGCGUCCAGCAGAAGGAAGGUGUGGUUGGGGGUUGCAUGCUGGCCUCACGCCCAGCACUGUGUUGACUGCUUCACGUGUUCGCUCUUGGAAUCCUCCCGGCAGCCCUGUGCAGCCAUCUGCCAUCAUCCCCAUUCCAUAGAUUAGGAAACUGAGGCACUCAGGCAACUUGUCCAAAGUCACGCAGCUCCUAGGUGGCUGAGCCGGGAUUCAGACCCGGGUGAUCUGGGCCCGAGUCCUUGCCUCGACCCAUGAUGCACGGUGUGGACCAGGGUCUGUCUUGGGUGGCGUUCUCUCCCACUGAUGGAUUUCAUCUUCUCCCUGGGACUUGUUCCUAAGACACAGAUGGCCCUAGAACACCUGCUUCCCAGGAGUAGAGGCCCCUCCGUCAUUGGUGGUACAAAUGUGGGCUCAACAGCAAAAUCACAGCGUCUCCCCAUGACUGUGUGGGCGUCCUCAUCGGGAGCUUGGGAUGACUUGCAUCUGUUUUCCUCCGUGAUUCUCUCCACACCUGUGAGGGUCCAGAAGCUAAAAAGGCACAGCCACACUGAGAGGAGUCACCUCUCCACAGUGGCCCGAGGCCCCUCUUGAGAGACAGACAUCCUGAAAACCGAAGCACCACGGCCCCCAAAUAAGUGAUUUCCCUUCUGCUGUCGGAAAACGACUUUCUUUUCAUUCACACACACAUUGGUUUUUCCUUUCCUGCUAAAGUGUAGGCACUGGAUGAGAAAACAGACUUGGCCAAACUCCUGGUGGGAGUGGUUUGUGACCCAGGGCGCCAGCUCACAGCCCGAGUGAGCACUCGGGUGGGAGAGGCGCCCCACGUCUGCGGGUGCAGCCCACAGGGUGUCCGGCUCUGUGCUCGGCGGCUGGUGGUCUGCAGCGGUGGACGGGGGACAGCCUGAGCAAAGAGCCAUUUGAAGGGAACCCAUGGAUGCCUGGUUGACCUCACGUGUAGGUCUGCCUCUUGGUCGUUGGGUUAUGUGAAUCACUCGCUACACGGGGAUUGUACUUGUGUUUAUCAACUCAAGGUCAUCAAGCUAAAUGCUCAGUAUCGUUUUUACGAAAGUAGUGCUGUCCUAGAUCAUAAGCAAGGUCAUUUUUUAAUUAAAGGCGAGUUAGUCUGGAUCUUAAACACCUUAAAAGAUGUUUUUCAAUGGAGGGGCUGGAAGGUGCUGUACCUCUUUG